rnacentral:tRNA from 1 species
GUUUUUAUAGUUUAAAAAAAAACAUUGGUUUUGUAAACCAAAAUUAAAACAAAAAUUUUUAAAAACA